rnacentral:tRNA from 1 species
GCCGAAGUAGCUCAGAUGGUAGAGCACCUCGCUGUUACGGUGACACAGGUUUCCUGGUCGCCGCAGAUACGAGGUUGUCCCAGGUUCGAGUCCUGGCUUUGGCG